rnacentral:lncRNA from 1 species
GUGUUUGACAAAACAGUAAUUGGCUUUCUGCAAAAUUAGAAUGUCCCAACUACACCAUCAAAAAACUUGCUCAUUUUCGCCAUUACAACAAUGGAGUGUUCAAGCAAGUGAAGAAAAUUGAUGCUGAGAAUCUACUAGCUGAAUAAAUCAACAUAUAACAACCACACAGCCCGAGUAAAGAACAUGAAUAUUACAAGAGUGGGGAGAAGAGGAACAGAUAUAAUCUCUUUCCAGGUAACACUUCAAUACUUUAUCUGAGACUUCGAGCUACUGUCAGUCUAUAAAUCACGCCCCGUCUAACAAAUACCCCUCUAAUAAAUAUAUAUAUAUAUACUGCACACGGGAAUAAAUCUCGUGGAUUUACCCCUUAAAUCGGACAACAAUGCACGAGAUAUCAUCUUUACUUUCUCUGAUCAGUGCUUCGAUCGCUAACUGCUUGGCUGCCUUCUGUGGGUCCUUGACUUUCCUCACAAUAUCAACUGCCUCUUGAUUAGACAUUACCUGAAGAAUCCGAAAUCAGAAGCAAGAAAACAAGAAGUUGCACCAGAGUGCCAGAAUGGGAAGGGAUAGAGAGAAUGUUGGAGCAAACCGAACCUUCCAUAGACCAUCGCUUGCAAGUAUGAGGAUAUCUGUAUCCCCAUCGACAUCAGCAUUUGUUACAUCAGGAUCAGAGCUCAGGUGUGAUUUCAGAGUCUUGUCCCCAAAAGCACGAGAUACAGCUAGUUGGCCAUUCACUCUGGCAACAUCUCCUGAGAUUAUAUAUAGUAUAUAUAUAAUAAGCAGGUCAUUAACAAUCUCAAAAUACAACAAUACUUGAGACACCUUUUAAGUCUAGAUCAAAUCCGUUUGGUUUGGAUGUACGGCACCCGGAAGGACUCUUGUGAUUUCUAACUCUAGCUACGAGUAGCUUUUUAAACAAAGAUAUUAGAUCACUAUAUUCUUUCUUUUUUCUCCCUUUCACCACAAAGCACAAGUGAACUAGCAACAGUGAGAUGAGAUAUUUUAGAUCAGAACAUCAUAUCAGAUAAACGAAAAAAAAUAGUUGAAACACGGUCAAAUUCUACAAAAAAAAAAAAAAAACUACUGACCAGCUUAUGCAACUAUAUAAAGGAAGUCUAUCGAUCAAAAAGAAUAUUUUCGGUGAGCCACAAACGGUAGAUGGUCAAAUUCUACAACCAAAAAAAAAAAAAUACUGACCAGCUUAUGCAACUAUAUAAAGGAAGUCUAUCGAUCAAAAAAGAAUAUUUUCGGUGAGCCACAAGCGGUAGAUAUCAAAUCAUUAAUCAGAACAAGCACCUGGUGUUAUAAAGGUUUAAAAGCGAGAGGAAAAGACUUUCUCAAAAGAAUUUGAAGGAAAGGGCAGUUGUCUCAUUGUCUUAGGUCACAGGUUCAAGCCCCCACUCUAUGCAACGCAAAGCCUGGUAUCUAAAUGGAGAAGGGUAGACGAGCGAGCCCAUUAUCCACCGAAUUUAGAAUUUUUGCGGUUGGUCCAAAGGAUGGGCCCCAGAUGGAUUUCUCGGUCAUCAAAAAAAAGGGCAGUUGUCUCAUUUUAUGGUCUUCGGCUCCUCGCCUCAUCUGCUAGCUUCUUUGAGGUUAAGUUAGGUCCAAAAUCCAUUUCUUUUUACAUGGUAUCAGAAGAUCUUAAAUAUUUCAAGCCUUCUCCCAUUUUUCAAAUCUCUUUGAUAGCCUCUAAACCAAAUGUCUAGUGAAGAGAAACAAAUGUGGGGCUUUCUGAUUAGUUAAAUCAUUCUUCUUAUUAUUAUUCUUUUUUUAUUGAUAAGGACUAAUCGCGCAGACCCCCUCAAGAACAACAGUGGUUUGUCCCAUUCCCACCACCAACCCCAUGGUGAUUGGUGACUCAAAUUCUCAACAUCAUGGUUGUGGAGAUUCCUUCCAUGAGGCCAACAUUCUCUUGUCAUUCCAAUUAAUUAAAAAAUUUAAACUCCUUUCUACCACCUUCUGCUUCAAGCAUUGCAGUUGGAAUAUUUCUUCUUGGAAGAAAACUUAUUGCACUUAGUCGGAAGUGGUUCUUCUGCUCUUGUUAGUAAAGAACUUCUGCUCUAUUCAUUAUUAGUUCCUCAACCCAUACCAAAGAUAGUCUCAGACCCUUCGUGCACUAACACAUAAUAAACCACUAUAAAAUUUGACAAUCUAAGUCAUUAGCCCGCUUCCGCACUCCAACACUCAAAGGGCAGGCAGACCCAUCUUUUUUAAUCAAACACAAUGUUUGCAAAUGAACUUCACAGUACAUAACCUAUUAAAAGAACCCUCUGUAAUUGUUCUGUAAAGAGAUCACUAAUCAUUCUCUAGAAUAAAAACAUCAACCACCAAUUAUUUCAUCUAAUUUAUUUCCCAGUUACCUAACUUGUGCAUAAAAAACACUUCAUGUUUGUUCGAAACAAAUUCAUGUCAGUGGCUCAUCUUCACCAAAAGUUUUGAUUAUUGUAUAUUCAUCAGGUAAUGUAACUGGACCAGACAUGUCGAUGUAGAAAAUGUAAAAGUAGCUCCCACAAUCAACACAUAGUCCACACACCCACAAAGAGCACGGCAAAAUCGGCUUUGACCCGACACCUCACACUCAAGAAGUAGAGGCUUCCAUUUUGAAACUGGUGACUUUACUUUGGUGGUGCUUGGUGAGGGGUGGAAAAAACUGGAAGGGGUGAAAGAAGGCUUCAAACUUGGACGUCAAAUUCGGCAGGGAGAGUCCUUCCUAGCUAGAGAUCUUGACCCAAAUAGAGACUUCGUUAACGGGCCAGAAAUUGCAGGACCAGCUGUAACCGACCGAGUAAAUUGUAAACAACUAUUUCUAAAUUUUGGUAAAUGGACUUCGGCAAACAUAUAUCGUUAACACACUUCUAUGUUUUUAUUAGCUCGUAUGAUGUUUGGAGAAACAGUGAAUCAAAGAAAGCUUAACAUGCAAUUCACAGUCCAACUCAUGAAGCAUUUUUCAUUUACUCUGCAGACAAAAUUGCUAUUAUCCAGAAUCCAGUUCUCCUGUCCCUUUAUGCUUUACUCGGUUACUUCUUGCGCGCAGCUGCCAUUUCCUCAGCUUUUUGUCACAGAAAGAUUGUGUACAGUUAGUCCAACUACUAAGAUUGUCUAUUCCUCCUCUUCUAACAAACCCGUAUGAAGUGUUUUUUAUCAUCAGCAAUAUUUACGUUCAAAAGUGAGUUAAUAGCAGGUAAAUUCUCAAACAUCAUCCUAAUUACAAUUAUUAGAGCAAUUUUCAGGAAAAAACCCAAACAGUUUGCAUUACAAUUUAGUUAUGAUAUCAACUGUAAAACUCUGACUUUUCCACAUUAACCUCGAAAACACUAGCAAAUAUCUUCAAUCACAUAAAACCACAAAAAUUUGGACUCCUAAUCAUGAGCUCUAACAACGAAAGAUGAAGUAUCACAUAAAUUAGGUGUGAGAUAUUAAACUAAAUAUCAUUGGUUUUUAUUAGAAGCAGAUAAUUGGCACUAAUCCACCCAAGUCUCUGUUUCGAGCCCCUAAGAACAGAGAAUUUCCUAGUAGGGAGUGCUUCACCCUUAAAUGGGGCUUAGGGCAUGAAUCUAGAUUAGUCAGUCCAGUGGAUUCCGGAAUAACAGAAAGUUAAACCACCCCCCCCCCCCAAAAAAAAAAANNNNNNNNNNNNNNNNNNNNNNNNNNNNNNNNNNNNNNNNNCCAGUGAUUCCGGAAAAAAAAAAACUUAAACCCCCCCCCCCCCCCAAAAAAAAAAAAGGAAAUCUUAUUACACAAAAAUAAAUGGUAUUAUCUAUUUUAUUAAGAAUAAGUGAAGAGGGACCAUACAGGCCUAUGACUAAGGUACUAUAUACGUAUGAACCAAGUUAGGAAGACUUAAAGAACUAAUUGAUACAAGCCAUUUUCAACUUGUACUAAAAGAUACAUUGAAUAGAGAAAACAACACUACUAUUAUAUCCACAGGAGCAAGUCAUGUCAGCACUUAUAAAAGGAAAAAAAAAAACACAGCAUAUGAGAAGCACCUGGCAUGUUGGAGACAAAACCACCUCUGUUUUCAAUGUCGCCUCGCUCAGUGUUUGGUUCAUGAUCAAUUGAUAGCUGGAUGGCCUGACCCCUCCUAGAAAGUACUGCUCUGGAAUCUCCAACAUUUGCUACCCAUAACUUACGACCAUUUAUAAGAAUUGCAGUCACAGCAGUAGAGCCACCUCUUCCAAGAUCAGGACUGUGUGAAAGAAUAGCUUGA